rnacentral:rRNA from 1 species
AUGCCUGGCAGUUCCCUACUCUCGCAUGGGGAGACCCCACACUACCAUCGGCGCUACGGCGUUUCACUUCUGAGUUCGGCAUGGGGUCAGGUGGGACCACCGCGCUAGUGCCGCCAGGCA